AAGCCUAUCUGUGGAGAUUAUGAUGGGCGCUAUAUAUAAAUAUGAUCAAGAUUCAAGAAAUAAAGAGACGAUACUUUAAUUUUGUAAUGAAUUUUAGGGACUCUCUGUAUUUGACUUAAAUGAAUUUUGCUUAUAAAUAAAAAAGAAAAGAAAAAGUGAUGAUACUUUAUGAAUUUUGAGUACAGCUUUGUAUUAACCUUAAUUAUGAAUUUUAGUGGUUAACAAAAUAUUUUAAUUGGUUAAUGAUUAGUGACAGGCCCGACUUCUAUGCAUGUGCCAUAAGAGUUACUCCGUAUGACACAGGGUCUCAAUAUCUCAAAAAAUAGGGGGUUCAAAAUAAUUUAUGAGCUGGUCAGGGCUGGCUUUGCACAUGUGCAAAGGUGCUCUAUGGAGCCGGACCUCUAUAUUUUUGGGGCCUUGAAAAAAAUUAUAUGGAAUUGAAGUGUAUGGAGUAGUGGCUUUAGCAGCAUGAGUGGUACGUAGAAUUUGAAAACCACAUAUGGAACGUGGUUUUUGUUACGUGUCUGUGGAUCUGUCUGAAUCUGAAUCUUAGUGGACCAUACGAUAUGAGGGAUGAUCAAUUCUGAACCAGAGGAUGGAUUGUACAAUAUUUAACCAAUUAACGUUUUGAAUGCAAUGUUUUCACGAUAAGGAGUUACUGGAUGCAAAUGCAAUGCAAUAAAGACCAUUUGAUUUCGGAAAGAUACGUAUAAGCACUUAUAAACAGAACAACAUAACAUAUUUUUCAGUUUGACGUACUAC